rnacentral:rRNA from 1 species
GAUAAACGCUGGCGGCGCACAUAAGACAUGCAAGUUGAACGGACUUAAUCGAAAUAUUUAUCUUUUGAAGCGGUUAGUGGCGGACUGGUGAGUAACGCGUAAGGAACCUGCCUAUUAGAGGGGAAUAACAGUGAGAAAUCAUUGCUAAUACCGCAUAUGCCAUAGAUAUCACAUGAUAACAGUGGGAAAGGAGCAAUCCGCUAAUAGAUGGCCUUGCGUCUGAUUAGAUAGUUGGUGGGGUAACGGCCUACCAAGUCGACGAUCAGUAGCCGGACUGAGAGGUUGGACGGCCACAUUGGGACUGAGAUACGGCCCAGACUCCUACGGGAGGCAGCAGUCGGGAAUAUUGCGCAAUGGAGGAAACUCUGACGCAGUGACGCCGCGUAUAGGAAGAAGGUUUUCGGAUUGUAAACUAUUGUCGUUAGGGAAGAGAAAGGACAGUACCUAAGGAGGAAGCUCCGGCUAACUACGUG